GAAUACUACACAAAUUAUAAGUAUGCAAUGUCGAAUAGUUGCAGGUUAAAGACCUGGAUAUUGAUUUCAAUAUGAUAGUCGACAAAGUGGCACAAAUGCACAGCCUGAGAAAAGAGGUUUUUUCCAGGGAAGCAAAUGGAAAACUCAAAUGGGCUUUGAGAAGUGGUCGGUUUGGUCCGUUUACAGAAGAGUUUGUUGACACUGUGAAUACCAGUUUGAUCACAUAUGUUGGAGUAGAAAAGCGCCACCUUAUACCGGAUUUAUUUAUGCCUGAGUCUAGAACCUGGUCUAUCACAUACAGUUGGUCCAGCAAGGGAUGCUGGUAGUAUAGACAA